GCCCUAAUAGCUUAAUUAUAAAGCAUUGGUCUUGUAAACCAAAGACUGAAGAUCGCAAUCUUCUUAGAGCU
rnacentral:tRNA from 1 species